rnacentral:rRNA from 1 species
UUGCUUCUUUGCUGACGACCGGCGCACGGGUGCGUAACGCGUAUACGAUCUGCCUUGUACUGGGGGAUAGCCUUGAGAAAUGAAGAUUAGCACCCCAUAGUAUAUGACUGUGGCAUCGCAGACGUAUUAAAGGUUACGGUACAAGAUGAGUAUGCGGCCUAUUAGCUAGAUGGUGUGGUAACGGCACACCAUGGCGACGAUAGGUAGGGGCCCUGAGAGGGGGAUCCCCCACGCUGGUACUGAGACACGGACCAGACUCAUACGGGAGGCAGCAGUGAGGAAUAUUGGACAAUGGAGGCAACUCUGAUCCAGCCAUGCCGCGUGCAGGAAGACUGCCCUAUGGGUUGUAAACUGCUUUUAUACGGGAAGAAACACCCCCACGUGUGGGGGCUUGACGGUACCGUAAGAAUAAGCACCGGCUAACUCCGUGCCAGCAGCCGCGGUAAUACGGAGGGUGCAAGCGUUAUCCGGAAUCAUUGGGUUUAAAGGGUCCGUAGGCGGACAAUUAAGUCAGAGGUGAAAGUCUGCAGCUCAACUGUAGAAUUGCCUUUGAUACUGGUUGUCUUGAAUUAUUGUGAAGUGGUUAGAAUAAGUAGUGUAGCGGUGAAAUGCAUAGAUAUUACUUAGAAUACCAAUUGCGAAGGCAGAUCACUAACAAUAUAUUGACGCUGAGGGACGAAAGCGUGGGGAGCGAACAGGAUU